ACUACCCGCUGAACUUAAGCAUAUCAAUAAGCGGAGGAAAAGAAACCAACAGGGAUUGCCUCAGUAACGGCGAGUGAAGCGGCAAAAGCUCAAAUUUGAAAUCCCCCGGGAAUUGUAAUUUGAAGAGAUUUGGGUCCGGCCGGCAGGGGUUAAGUCCACUGGAAAGUGGCGCCACAGAGGGUGACAGCCCCGCGAGCCCCUCUAAAGCCUCUACCCCAGAUCUCCAAGAGUCGAGUUGUUUGGGAAUGCAGCUCUAAGUGGGUGGUAAAUUCCAUCUAAAGCUAAAUACCGGCGAGAGACCGAUAGCGAACAAGUACAGUGAUGGAAAGAUGAAAAGCACUUUGAAAAGAGAGUGAAAAAGUACGUGAAAUUGUUGAAAGGGAAGGGCUUGCAAGCAGACACUUAACUGGGCCAGCAUCGGGGCGGCGGGGAGCAAAACCACCGGGGAAUGUACCUUUCGAGGAUUAUAACCCCGGCCCUUACUCCCUCACCAUCCUGAGGCCUGCAAUCUAAGGAU
rnacentral:rRNA from 1 species